rnacentral:piRNA from 1 species
AACCUGGUGUGAAAGUGAAGUUCUCUGC